rnacentral:rRNA from 1 species
AUUGAACGCUGGCGGCAGGCCUAACACAUUCAAGUCGAACGAGUGGCGGACGGGUGAGUAAUGUCUGGGAAACUGCCCGAUGGAGGGGGAUAACCACUGGAAACGGAAGCUAAUACCGCAUACCAUCUGAUGUGCCUAGAUGGGAUGAGCUAGUCGGUGGGGUAACGGCUCACCUAGGCGACGAUCCCUAGCUGGUCUGAGAGGAUGACCAGCCAAGCUGGAACGGAGACAGGGUCCAGACUCCUAGGGGAUGCAGCAGGGGGGAAUAUUGCACAAUGUGCGAAAGCCUGAUGCAGCCAUGCCGCGUGUAUGAAGAAGGCCUUCGGGUUGUAAAGUACUUUCAGCGAGGAGGCGUUACUGGCAGAAGAAGCACCGGCUAACUCCGUGCCAGCAGCCGCGGUAAUU